CAGCCGCCACGGUAAUACAGAGGGCGCAAGCGUUAAUCGGAAUUACUGGGCGUAAAGCGCACGCAGGCGGUUUGUUAAGUCAGAUGUGAAAUCCCCGAGCUUAACUUGGGAACUGCAUUUGAAACUGGCAAGCUAGAGUCUUGUAGAGGGGGGUAGAAUUCCAGGUGUAGCGGUGAAAUGCGUAGAGAUCUGGAGGAAUACCGGUGGCGAAGGCGGCCCCCUGGACAAAGACUGACGCUCAGGUGCGAAAGCGUGGGGAGCAAACAGGAUUAGAUACCCGCGUAGUCCCUGUCUCUUAUAA
rnacentral:rRNA from 1 species